AGAACUGCCAUACAUUCAGUUUAUAGUAUCUAAGUUCUAUCACUGGGUUUGACAGAUCUUA
rnacentral:pre_miRNA from 1 species